UACGGAGGGUGCAAGCGUUAUCCGGAUUUACUGGGUUUAAAGGGUGCGUAGGUGGGUAGGUAAGUCAGUGGUGAAAUCUUCGAGCUUAACUCGGAAACUGCCAUUGAUACUAUCUGUCUUGAAUACUUUGGAGGUAAGCGGAAUAUGUCAUGUAGCGGUGAAAUGCUUAGAUAUGAAUUAGAACACCAAUCGGCGAAGGCAGUUAACUAUUCGGUUCCUGACGUUGAGGCACGAAAGCGUGGGGAGCAAGACGG
rnacentral:rRNA from 1 species